rnacentral:rRNA from 1 species
GACGAACGUUGGCGGCGUGCUUAACACAUGCAAGUCGAACGGAAAGGCCCUGCUUUUGUGGGGUGCUCGAGUGGCGAACGGGUGAGUAACACGUGAGUAACCUGCCCUUGACUUUGGGAUAACUUCAGGAAACUGGGGCUAAUACCGGAUAGGAGCUCCUGCUGCAUGGUGGGGGUUGGAAAGUUUCGGCGGUUGGGGAUGGACUCGCGGCUUAUCAGCUUGUUGGUGGGGUAGUGGCUUACCAAGGCUUUGACGGGUAGCCGGCCUGAGAGGGUGACCGGCCACAUUGGGACUGAGAUACGGCCCAGACUCCUACGGGAGGCAGCAGUGGGGAAUAUUGCACAAUGGGCGGAAGCCUGAUGCAGCAACGCCGCGUGCGGGAUGACGGCCUUCGGGUUGUAAACCGCUUUCGCCUGUGACGAAGCGUGAGUGACGGUAAUGGGUAAAGAAGCACCGGCUAACUACGUGCCAGCAGCCGCGGUGAUACGUAGGGUGCGAGCGUUGUCCGGAUUUAUUGGGCGUAAAGGGCUCGUAGGUGGUUGAUCGCGUCGGAAGUGUAAUCUUGGGGCUUAACCCUGAGCGUGCUUUCGAUACGGGUUGACUUGAGGAAGGUAGGGGAGAAUGGAAUUCCUGGUGGAGCGGUGGAAUGCGCAGAUAUCAGGAGGAACACCAGUGGCGAAGGCGGUUCUCUGGGCCUUUCCUGACGCCGAGGAGCGAAAGCGUGGGGAGCGAACAGGCUUAGAUACCCUGGUAGUCCACGCUGUAAACGGUGGGUACUAGGUGUGGGGUCCAUUCCACGGGUUCCGUGCCGUAGCUAACGCUUUAAGUACCCCGCCUGGGGAGUACGGCCGCAAGGCUAAAACUCAAAGGAAUUGACGGGGCCCCGCACAAGCGGCGGAGCAUGCGGAUUAAUUCGAUGCAACGCGUAGAACCUUACCUGGGUUUGACAUGGAUCGGGAGUGCUCAGAGAUGGGUGUGCCUCCUUUGGGGUCGGUUCACAGGUGGUGCAUGGCUGUCGUCAGCUCGUGUCGUGAGAUGUUGGGUUAAGUCCCGCAACGAGCGCAACCCUUGUUCACUGUUGCCAGCACGUUAUGGUGGGGACUCAGUGGAGACCGCCGGGGUCAACUCGGAGGAAGGUGGGGAUGACGUCAAGUCAUCAUGCCCCUUAUGUCCAGGGCUUCACGCAUGCUACAAUGGCUGGUACAGAGAGUGGCGAGCCUGUGAGGGUGAGCGAAUCUCGGAAAGCCGGUCUCAGUUCGGAUUGGGGUCUGCAACUCGACCUCAUGAAGUCGGAGUCGCUAGUAAUCGCAGAUCAGCAACGCUGCGGUGAAUACGUUCCCGGG